CGAUGUCUGCUCCAUGAUGAUGGCAGAAGACCUUUAAUGCCCCUAAUUAGGGAUUAUGGGUAAAAGCUGUGCAGGCCUGAGAGAGGGAACACAGAUCUGCUAAGGCUUUUCAAUGGAUUAGGCUGACUUCUUGUCUGUUUUAAUGCUUAUUUGCCAUCUUUUUGAUACAACCCAUCAGAAAAAUGCAAGCAGAGGUUUUUUUAUUUUAUCUUUGUGAGCUGUGUUCAAGGAACAGGCCUUUCAUUGUGGACUGCUAAAAAAAGGCCUCAGAGUCAGAAAAGACUUAAGAAAGCUUCUGCUCAAACAGGUUGCACAACAAACACAGCAGGAAGGAGGAAUGACCGACAAAAACCUUCAAGACGAAAGCAGGAGAACCUGUUUUUGAAUAGAAAAAAUUUAGUUUAUUUCCUUUCUAAGCCGUGUGUUUUCGGGGAAACUACAGUUUAACAAUUCUGAAGAAGAAGAAGAAGAAGCAGAAGCAGAAGAAGAAAAAGACAUUUUGGAGUCAUAUGGUUGUUUGUCACUAGAAGACAACUAAGCCAAACUGAUCAUUUUACUUGGAUGAGCAUGUGGUGUCAUAUUAAUGCAAAGUGGACUUAUGAUGAAUUUAGUCACAUUAUGCAAUUAAAAAAACUUUUGCUUAAAAAAAAAAGUCCGCCUCAGAACCAAAUUAUAAGGCCUAAAAUAAUGAUGACUGUAAUUGAUAGUAACACACAUAAAUAAAAAGUUUAUCAACACAAAUAAUCUUCAAUUAAACAUGAUAUUUAUUCUACUGAUGAUUUAAUCUUUUUAUCUGGAUGCUUUUGUGGUGUUACAUUCUUACACAACCAGGCAUGCAUUUCCAAUGUGGUAGUGCUGGACUCUAAACAGAAAUGUCUAGAGAGGAAAACCAUAUCUUCUGAUUGAUUGAUCAUUUUAUUGAUUGACAGUCCAUAUUUAGUCUUUUUUUCUGCCCAGAGACCUUUUUUGAACUCAGUUCUUGGUAAACCUGUGGUAGUUAUUGAUGAUAAACUGAUUCUGGUUCAGGAAUGAUGUAUAGUGUCAAGAACAGACUGACUUGAUCAACAAUAAAAUCAGUGACAGAG